UCUCUCUUUCUCUCUCCCCAUGUGGUUUGCUGGAUUUCUUUAGUGAUAAUCUUGGAUUCCUUUCUCUUUAUUUUUUGGCAUAUCUGUUACUGGUUUUUGAUUUGUGGUUACCAUUAGGUUUGUAUAUAACAUCUUAUGCUUAUAGAAGUCUAUAGUAAGUUGAUGGUCACUUCAAUUUGAACCCAUGCUUGACUCCUCUCCACCCCACAUUUUAGGUAUGUGGUGUCAUACUUUACAUCUUUUUAUAGACAUAAUUAAUUUUACUGCUUUUGUGCAUCCUACUUUUAUUAUUCCUGCUUAUGGCCUUUCCUUUCCACUCGAACAGUUACCUUUAACAUUUCUUGUAUGACUCAUUUGGUGGUCAUGAAUUCCUUUACCCUUGUCUGGGAAACUCUUUAUCUCUCCUUCUAUUCCAAAUGAUACCCUUGCUGAACACAGUAUUCUUGGCUGUAGGUUUUUGUUGUUGUUGUUUCAGCACUUUGAAUAUAUUAUGUCAGUCCCUUCUGGCUUACAAGAUUUCUGCUAAAAAAUCAAAUUGAUAGCCUUACAGCGUUUCCCUUUAUGUAACUAUUUUCUUUUCUCUUGCUGCUUUUAAAAUUCUCUCUUUAUCACUAC